GCAUAAUAAAUUGUUUUUUAAUUGGAAACUGGAAUGAAGGGUGGUUACUGAAGAGUAAGUUUUAAUUGAUAAAUUUGAAUUUAAAUUAAAAGUAAAAAUGCUUUUAUAAUUCCUUGGGACGAGAAGACCCUAGAAGCUUUUUAAAUUAAAGAUUUUUGAAUUGGGGCAAUUGAUGAAGAUAAAGAUUUUUAUAUAAUAAUUAAUAGGAUAAUAAAGGUUAUUAUAAGUUACUCUAGGGAUAACAGCGUUAUUUAAUUUAUAAGUUCUUAUUAGUAGUUAGGUUUGCGACCUCGAUGUUGAAUUAAUA
rnacentral:rRNA from 1 species